rnacentral:lncRNA from 1 species
ACCUGCAGUUCCCUGCAGAGGCCUCCUUUCCACUGCAGUCUCUGCCAAGUGGUUGUCACAGCAUUAAUUAAACUGGAAGAAUAAAGGCAUUGCAUGUCAUUUUCUAUAUUGGAUGCCUUCAUGUUAUGGACGUAUCUCCAUGGAGCAAUCUUGUAUAUAAACUGAAAACAAAUGCCUGAUGAGCCCUGAAUUCAAACACUGGAUUGUGACCUCCUUUGGAAUAGGUCUGUGUCUUUUCCCAUCUCUGACUCUAGCAUAAGACAUAAUUUCAGAUGGGAUGAUAUAAUAAAACAUGACUUUCAAAAAGAUGACAUAGCAGAUGCCAAAACAAUGUUUUUGGACAGAAAGCUGAUGAACUGGUUCUACUCACCUCUAGUAUGUGGCAUCUGAGACUAUUACAGAAGAAAGAAAACAGGAAAGAAUAUAAGCCUUCUCUGUUUCUCAGAGUGGGUAGCACAUGAGUGAAAGCUGAGAUUAUCAGGUAAUCAAACUGAGGUCUGAUUCUUGGAUUACUCUGAUGUGGUAAGGCUGUCCUUCUCUAAACGGUUCAUCACACUGCAGGUUAAGAUCCAUCACUGAAUUCUAAAAUCAGUUGUGUGUAUUUCUCAGCAUUUUUACAAAG